rnacentral:rRNA from 1 species
UCUCCGUUGGUGAACCAGCGGAGGGAUCAUUACCGAGUGUAAAAACUCCCAAACCAUUGUGAACCUACCACUGUUGCUUCGGCGGCCUCGCCCCGGGCGCGUUCGCGCGGCCCGGACCCAGGCGUCCGCCGGAGGCUCCAAACUCUUGUCUUUUAGUGUAUUUCUGAGUGGCAUAAGCAAAUAAAUCAAAACUUUCAGCAACGGAUCUCUUGGUUCUGGCAUCGAUGAAGAACGCAGCAAAAUGCGAUAAGUAAUGUGAAUUGCAGAAUUCAGUGAAUCAUCGAAUCUUUGAACGCACAUUGCGCCCGCCAGUAUUCUGGCGGGCAUGCCUGUCUGAGCGUCAUUUCAACCCUCAGGACCCGUUCGCGGGACCUGGCGUUGGGGAUCAGCCUGCCCCUGGCGGCGGCUGGCCCUGAAAUCCAGUGGCGGUUCCCUCGCGAACUCCUCCGUGCAGUAAUUAAACCUCUCGCGGCAGGAUAGCGGUUGAACCACGCCGUUAAACCCCCCACUUCUCAAGGUUGACCUCAGAUCAGGUAGGAAUACCCGCUGAACUUAAUGAUAAAAAGGGGAGG